rnacentral:rRNA from 1 species
UACGGAGGGUGCAAGCGUUAUCCGGAUUCACUGGGUUUAAAGGGUGUGUAGGCGGGUAUUUAAGUCAGUGGUGAAAUCUCCAGGCUCAACCUGGAAACUGCCAUUGAUACUAUUUAUCUUGAAUUCUGUUGAGGUGGGCGGAAUACAUCAUGUAGCGGUGAAAUGCUUAGAUAUGAUGUAGAACACCGAUUGCGAAGGCAGCUCACUAAACAGACAUUGACGCUGAGGCACGAAAGCGUGGGGAUCAAACGGG